rnacentral:rRNA from 1 species
CCUACGGGAGGCAGCAGUGAGGAAUAUUGGUCAAUGGGCGCGAGCCUGAACCAGCCAAGUCGCGUGAAGGAUGAAUGCCCUACGGGUUGUAAACUUCUUUUAUCAGGGAGUAAAGUGAGGCACGUGUGCCUUUUUGUAUGUACUUUAUGAAUAAGGAUCGGCUAACUCCGUGCCAGCAGCCGCGGUAAUACGGAGGAUCCGGGCGUUAUCCGGAUUUAUUGGGUUUAAAGGGAGCGUAGAUGGGUUGUUAAGUCAGUUGUGAAAGUUUGAGGCUCAACCGUAAAAUUGCAAUUGAUACUGGCAGACUUGAGUACAGUUGAGGUAGGCGGAAUUCGUGGUGUAGCGGUGAAAUGCGUAGAUAUCACGAAGAACUCCGAUUGCGAAGGCAGCCUACUAAACUGCGACUGACAUUGAUGCUCGAAAGUGUGGGUAUCAAACAGGAUUAGAUACCCUGGUAGUC